CAGGCUUAACACAUGCAAGUCGAGGGGCAGCAUUUUAGUUUGCUUGCAAACUGAAGAUGGCGACCGGCGCACGGGUGAGUAACACGUAUCCAACCUGCCGAUAACUCCGGAAUAGCCUUUCGAAAGAAAGAUUAAUACCGGAUAGCAUACGAAUAUCGCAUGAUAUUUUUAUUAAAGAAUUUCGGUUAUCGAUGGGGAUGCGUUCCAUUAGUUUGUUGGCGGGGUAACGGCCCACCAAGACUACGAUGGAUAGGGGUUCUGAGAGGAAGGUCCCCCACAUUGGAACUGAGACACGGUCCAAACUCCUACGGGAGGCAGCAGUGAGGAAUAUCGGUCAAUGGGCGAGAGCCUGAACCAGCCAAGUAGCGUGAAGGAUGAAGGCUCUAUGGGUCGUAAACUUCUUUUAUAUGGGAAUAAAGUUUUCCACGUGUGGAAUUUUGUAUGUACCAUAUGAAUAAGGAUCGGCUAACUCCGUGCCAGCAGCCGCGGUAAUACGGAGGAUCCGAGCGUUAUCCGGAUUUAUUGGGUUUAAAGGGAGCGUAGGUGGAUUGUUAAGUCAGUUGUGAAAGUUUGCGGCUCAACCGUAAAAUUGCAGUUGAAACUGGCAGUCUUGAGUACAGUAGAGGUGGGCGGAAUUCGUGGUGUAGCGGUGAAAUGCUUAGAUAUCACGAAGAACUCCGAUUGCGAAGGCAGCUCACUAGACUGUCACUGACACUGAUGCUCGAAAGUGUGGGUAUCGAACAGGAUUAGAUACCCUGGUAGUCCACACAGUAAACGAUGAAUACUCGCUGUUUGCGAUAUACAGUAAGCGGCCAAGCGAAAGCAUUAAGUAUUCCACCUGGGGAGUACGCCGGCAACGGUGAAACUCAAAGGAAUUGACGGGGGCCCGCACAAGCGGAGGAACAUGUGGUUUAAUUCGAUGAUACGCGAGGAACCUUACCCGGGCUUAAAUUGCAACAGAAUAUAUUGGAAACAGUAUAGCCGUAAGGCUGUUGUGAAGGUGCUGCAUGGUUGUCGUCAGCUCGUGCCGUGAGGUGUCGGCUUAAGUGCCAUAACGAGCGCAACCCUUAUCUUUAGUUACUAACAGGUUAUGCUGAGGACUCUAGAGAGACUGCCGUCGUAAGAUGUGAGGAAGGUGGGGAUGACGUCAAAUCAGCACGGCCCUUACGUCCGGGGCUACACACGUGUUACAAUGGGGGGUACAGAAGGCGGCUACCUGGUGACAGGAUGCUAAUCCCAAAAACCUCUCUCAGUUCGGAUCGAAGUCUGCAACCCGACUUCGUGAAGCUGGAUUCGCUAGUAAUCGCGCAUCAGCCAUGGCGCGGUGAAUACGUUCCCGGGCCUUGUACACACCGCCCGUCAAGCCAUGAAAGCCGGGGGUACCUGAAGUACGUAACCGCAAGGAGCGUCCUAGGGUAAAACUGGUAAUUGGGGC
rnacentral:rRNA from 1 species